AUCCUGGCUCAGAUUGAACGCUGGCGGCAUGCUUUACACAUGCAAGUCGAACGGGCUUGGGGGCUUGCUCCCAAGUUAGUGGCGAACGGGUGAGUAAUACAUCGGAACGUACCGUGUAGUGGGGGAUAACGUAGCGAAAGUUACGCUAAUACCGCAUACGAUCUACGGAUGAAAGCAGGGGACCUUCGGGCCUUGUGCUAUACGAGCGGCCGAUGUCUGAUUAGCUAGUUGGUGAGGUAAAGGCACACCAAGGCGACGAUCAGUAGCGGGUCUGAGAGGAUGAUCCGCCACACUGGGACUGAGACACGGCCCAGACUCCUACGGGAGGCAGCAGUGGGGAAUUUUGGACAAUGGGCGAAAGCCUGAUCCAGCCAUGCCGCGUGUCUGAAGAAGGCCUUCGGGUUGUAAAGGACUUUUGUCAGGGAGCAAAACUUACUGGUUAAUACCCGGUGAGGCUGAGAGUACCUGAAGAAUAAGCACCGGCUAACUACGUG
rnacentral:rRNA from 1 species